UAAUCGGCCCUUUUCAGGGCCACAAACAUUUUUAAAACGUUAGAA
rfam:Cerapachys biroi unplaced genomic scaffold scaffold798, whole genome shotgun sequence.